UACGAAGGGGGCGAGCGUUGUUCGGAAUCACUGGGCGUAAAGAGUGCGUAGGCGGUUAUGAAAGUUAGGAGUGAAAGCCCCAGGCUGCAACUUGGGAAUUGCUCUUAAAACUACAUGACUCGAAUUCGGGAGAGGAUAGCGGAAUUGUCAGUGUAGCAGUGAAUGCGUAGAUAUGACAGGACACCGGUGGCGUAAGCGGCUAUCUGGACCGACAUUGACGCUGAGGCACGAAAGCGUGGGGAUCAAACAGG
rnacentral:rRNA from 1 species